GCGACGGCAAACAAGGAGCUGUCAACAAACAACCCUUCUCAAGGCUGCUCUCUGAUGUGCACUUGCAGGCCCGUGCUGCCAACACAUAGAUAACUAAAUAGUGACCCCAACCAUUGACACUCCGCGCUCUCGCCGAAUUCGAUAACGUUGACCCUAGCAGCCUCCAUUCCAUGCAAACAACACCCGCCUCAAUUGAUGACUUGCGUUGUUGAAGUUUGGAACUUAUUGAUUGCGAAGAUAGCUAGCUGGUGUAGGUUAGCAUCUACCUGUGUAAUAUGUCGUGUAUACUUUGUAGUAUUGUUUAUGUUGGCAGUUAUCAGUUAACUACGAGAUACCGUCGUUGUAGUGGGGCGGAAAUUGUCCUGUUUCUUUCUUUCCCUUGCUUUCUUGGAGACCUUGGCUACGUGUUGUGCUGAAUUGAAAAAAAAAAUAAAAUAAAUAAAAAAAUAAAAUAAAAUAUUUUGGUUAGGAAGACGGGCUUGGGUAACAUGAAAUUCCAACUCACAUGGCGAUCAACAAUCCAUAAUCAAUGAUCUUAUGUGUAUUUUUUAUAUUAUUUUGUAUGCGUUAGCUAGGCAACUAGAUGAACCGAUGUCUGACUAAUUGCCUAAGAUACUUAAGAGAGAGCAUAUUAUCUAGAUACAUAUAUUGACUUCCAAAAUAAACAUUGAAAUCAAACACCAUUUUUUAAACCCAUAAUCCGGAUCAUCAGUCCAGCAAUUAGUUCUCCCUGACCUGUAUUGAAACAGCUCUCGACAACAAAUUUCCGCCAUUUCGGAAGUCGAUCCUCUAAAAAAAAGAAAGAAAAAACCACAAGAAACAGUUUAACGUACCCAUAAAAGGAGAAAAUAAAAGCAGCAGCAAGCCAAAAAUGUCUCCCAUCAGGAAAAACCAACUCAAGUAUAUUUAGACAAGACAUAUAUCACAAUCACAUCCCUUUCUGCAUCCUCAUACUCUUUCCUCGACCCUCCGGGGCGCCGAGAUGUGUACAUUCGUGCUCCGCUUGCGGCCACCGUUAGCUUCCUUCCCAGCAACACUGGACAUCUCACUCUCUCGACCAAUGCUCCUCUCGCUUGCCUUGGUCAGCGUACGAGCAAAAGUGAAGAAUCCCUGCCUGAGUCCCAGCUCGUGGCUUGGCCAGCGUCGUCGCAAGCCCAAGCUAGCUGCACCGCCAUAGUCCUCUCCCUCAGCGAACCAGCCGGUCCUUCGUUUAACCAUUUUCCACGCCUCCACCGCAAGCACGAAUACGAAUAUUGAUCCGAAUGCCAGGCCCCAUUCCCAGGUUAUACCACUAUGCUUGAAAACCUUUGUGUUGAGACCAGGGAUGUAGACUGCGGGAAAAACUGAGACGAAGCCGAUAACCACAGCCCAGAAGAGGAACUUGUUCUCCCAUACGUCGCAGAGGAAUGGGAAGGAAGAAAAACGUUCUCCAGUACGAUCACGCCGCGGGUCUAGGUUGAACAUGCUAUUGCGAAGGUGUUUGAAUUCCCAGGCGGAGAUAAGAAUGAGCCAUGUGAGUUCGGCAAAGACAGUGGCACGGGCCCGAAACACAACAUCGCAGGAAUCGCUGGCAAUACGGUUACAAUCGUGUCCCAGGGAAUCCACUCCAUUCCCUACACCGUAUAUUAUGAUGACGAAGGUGAGAAGCGUACAGGCUCCCAUGAUGACACCGUAGAUUAUCAUGUCAGUAAUGAUCUGCCAAGUGAAGACGCCCUUUUUAGUAUCAUGCGGUGGCCGAUGCAUUAUAGUGGCACCGGCCUUCUCACGACCGAGACCAAAGGCAGGGAACGAAGACGUCAACAUGUUAAUCCAAAGAAUCUCCAACGGUGAGAGUGGAAAAACAGAAACCCCCGAUCUAUCCUGGAAACCAAGUCCGACGAUAAGGAGUACAACUUCGCCUACAUUGGAAGUGAGGAGAUGGAGAAUGAAUUUCUGAAUAUUCUCAAACAUGCGUCUACCUUCCUCAAUUGCAUUGACAAUGCUAGCGAAAUUAUCAUCCGUGAGCACAAUGUCAGCGGCAGAUUUCGCCACAUCUGAUCCAGCCAAGCCCAUAGCGAUACCAACAUCUGCAGCUUUGAGAGAUGGAGCGUCGUUGACACCGUCUCCAGUCAUGGCACAGUAUCGGCGGCGACGAUGGAGAGCAGCGAUCAUUCGAGUUUUUGUGUCCGGGGCGCAACGUGCAAUUACCAAAGGAAG
rnacentral:sRNA from 1 species